rnacentral:rRNA from 1 species
UACGGGGGGGGCAAGCGUUGUUCGGAAUUACUGGGCGUAAAGGGCUCGUAGGCGGCCAACUAAGUCAGACGUGAAAUCCCUCAGCUUAACUGGGGAACUGCGUCUGAUACUGGAUGGCUUGAGUUCGGGAGAGGGAUGCGGAAUUCCCGGUGUAGAGGUGAAAUUCGUAGAUAUCGGGAGGAACACCAGUGGCGAAGGCGGUCACCUGGACGGAUACUGACGCUGAGGUGCGAAAGCGUGGGGAGCAAACAGG